GUUUGAUCCUGGCUCAGAGCGAACGUUAGCGGCAGGCUUAACACAUGCAAGUCGAGCGACAAAGGGGCUUCGGCCCUGAGUAGAGCGGCGGACGGGUGCGUAACACGUGGAUAAUCUGCCUCGUGGCGGGGGAUAACAGUCCGAAAGGACUGCUAAUACCGCAUGUCAGGUCGGAAACCCCGGUUUCUGACGAAAAAGAGGGCGCCCGCAAGGGGCUCUCACCACGAGAUGAGUCCGCGGCCCAUCAGCUAGUUGGCGGUGUAAUAGACCACCAAGGCUAAGACGGGUAGCUGGUCUGAGAGGAUGACCAGCCACACUGGGACUGAGACACGGCCAGACUCCUACGGGAGGCAGCAGUGGGGAUAUUGGACAAUGGGCGAAGCCUGAUCCAGCCAUGCCGCGUGAGUGAUGAAGGUCUUCGGAUCGUAAAGCUCUGUGGGAAGGGACGAAAAGACCUAACCUAAUACGUUAGGUCUU
rnacentral:rRNA from 1 species